AUGCUGAACGGUGUCCCAUUCCGCAGACUUGUGGUUAAAAACAUAGGCGCUGAGGUCCCCUGGUGGAAGUCAGAGUUAUUGCAAGGGGCAGGCAAACGGGUUUGUGGCUUUCGUAGUUCAUUACCUGAAUACUUAAAAAUAGGACAUGACAUGAAUGUCCUUCAAUUUUUUUUUCAAAAAGGACCUAAUACUCGGCAAGCAUUGGAAUCACUACAAUACAUUCUCCCAUCUCAGACUGUCAGAGGGACGGUCCCAAAGAGAUCUCAGCUGCAGGUUCUGCUUCAGUUACAUCAUUUUUUGGAGUCUUAUUCUGUCUCCAGGCUGGAGUGCAGUGGCGAGGUCUUGGCUCACUGCAACUUCCACCUCCUGGGUUCAAGCAAUUCACAUGCCUCAGCCUCCUGAGUAGCUGGGAUUACAGGUACGUGCCACCACACCCAACUAAUUUUUGUAUUUUUAGGAGAGACGGGGUUUCACCCCAUGUUGGCCAGACAGGUCUCGAUCUCCUGACCUCGUGAUCUGCUAGUCUUGGCCUCUCAAAGUGCUGGGAUUACAGGCGUGAGUGACCGCGCCCAGCCUCUCAACUUUUAAAAAAGAAUUCUUCUAAGGAGCCUUUUUAGACAUUUUCCCCUCCUAAUUGUCCUUCUCCUCCCCACUAAGUAUACAAUUUUAACACCACAGAUAUACUGUCUAUCUGUUUAUGUUUAUACAUAAGGCUGUUUAUAGAGCCUCUUGGAGGAUGACAAACCAUUGUAAUAUCUAGGACUUCUUCACACCCUCCCAGGAGCCCAUUCUCUCCUCCUUGGGGUCACAUUGCUCCCAUUGACCACGCAUGGUAUAGGAUGACUGUGCUAGUUUCCUAGGCUUAUUGUAACAAAUUACACCACAGACUUGGUGGCUUAAAACAACAGAAACUUGUUCUUUCAUAGUUCUGGGGUCCAGAAGGUCAAAAUCAAGGUGUCUGCAGGGCUGUGCUACCUUCGGAGGCCCUAGGAGGGAACGCUUCCUGACCUCUUCCGGCUCCUAGUGGCCGCUGGCAUGGCUUGUGGCAGCUGAACUCCGAUCUCAGCCUCCGUCUUCACAAAGCAUUUUCCUCUCCUCUGCGUCUUCUCCUUUUCUGUGUGUCAAAUCUCCCUCUGCCUUUCUCAUAUAAGGACACCUGUCGGCCGGGCGUGGUGGCUCACGCCUGUAAUUCCAGCACUUUGGGAGGCAGAGAUGGGUGGAUCAUGAGGUCAGGAGUUCAAGACCAGCCUGGCCAAGAUGGUGAAACCCUGUCUCUACAAAAAAAUACAAAAAUUAGCCUGGCAUGGUGGCGGGCGCCUGUAAUCCCAGCUACUCGGGAGGCAGAGGCAGAGAAUUGUUUGAACCCGGGAGGCGGAGCUUGCAGUGAGCCGAGAUUGCGCCACUGCACUCCAGCCUGGGUGACUUAAAAAAAAAAAAAAGGGACACCUGUCACUGGAUUUUGGGCCCACACUGAUAAUCUAGAAUAUCUCAGCUGGCGAUCUUUAACUUUUUCCAAAUAAGGCCACACACAGAGGUGCCAGUGGCUAAGACAUCUGUUUAUGGAAGCCAUCAUUUAGUCAUGAUGAUGACGAAAAUAUUUCUGGAGGCAGGGGAUGCACCCUUGCUGACAGAGGAACAUCACAUUGAUUCUUCAGCGACAUCAGCCAGAAAGCUCUGUGUACACGUCACAACUCACACUGCUGGGUUAGUGUACUUUUUUUUAACAUUUUGUGAUGUUUCUAGCAGUUACAGUGAUUUUAUUCCAGGAAAUCUGGGGAGCACUUGUCCCUCAGAUUUUGCCCACCCCAGAAAAGACGCCUGAAAAACUUCGGAAAAACCCAGAAAGUUUUAUCGACAAAACUUUGCCUCAGACGUAGCCCUUUUGUGCCCUCUAGUGGAAAUUAUGGUAACUGCAGUCAUACUUUUCCGAGGAAUCUGUAGGCGCAUAUUUAAAACGAUUAGUGACACAUCGGUUGCGUUUCAACCCAAAAAAGGAGCUUGGACCGUCUAUACUACGAUCCAAUCCAAUUUACUGUGCAUCUUUGAGAGAAGCAAUGCUAUAUAGAGCAAAAGGAGACUGAGUUGUGGAUUCAGUUCUUCUCUGCCUUGCACUUCUUUUUUACAGAAACAAAAGAAGCCGAGGCUGCUUGGGGGAGGAAGAGAGAGAAUGAAGACAGCUGUGUAUCUCCUCCAGCCAUAAAAUCCUAAGAAAGAAGUACAGCACUUUCCUUAAAGAGAUACUGAAACGUCUUGGUUUUCAGUUUUUAAUCGUACUUUGGCCAGAGUAUCACUACUUGGUAACACUUUUAUUUAUUUAUUAUUAUUAUUUUUGAGACGGAGACUCGCUCUGUCGCCCAGGCUGGAGUGCAGUGGCAUGAUCUCGACUCACCAUAACCUCCGCCUCCCGGGUUCAAGCAAUUCCCUGCCUCAGCCUCUCGAGUAGCUGGGACUACAGGUGCAUGCCGUAACGCCCGGCAAUUUUUUUUUUUUUUUUGGAUUUUUAGUAGAGAUGGGGUUUCACCAUCUUGGCCAGGCUGGUCUCGAACUCCUGACCUCAUGAUUCACUCACCUUGGCCUCCCAAAGUGCUGGGAUUACAGGCAUGAACCACUUCGCCCAGUCGCUAGGUAACACUUUAAAAAAAAAUCUAAGCAAAUCCUCCAACUGUAUUUCUUGCAAUUUCUCAUCAUUAUGAUCUCAUGACAGUGUCAACCUGCUGGAGGAAGAAAGACAUGCGUGGAAAGGCCAUGCCCCGUGUAAGAAUAUUCACGCCCAAUAGCAUCUCCAGGUAGCAUUCGUGGAAGAGUCAGCCCCCAGCUCCAUCACAGUGCCCCUCCUUCCUGGCACAAGGCCUUGGCCUUAAUAAGCAUUCAGGCGGCGUUGAGUGGAAUUGCCACGCUAUAGGGAGGAGGGCCGGGGCUGCCUUGGUUUCUUUUCAGCGGUGGCUUAAGUGCUCAGUAUUUCCUGCUUUUUGGUUGGCAAAGGGCUUUGUCAGUUCAGUGGAUUGCCUUCAAUGUACAGCCCUCGUGACCCCAUUUCUGGAGCACAGACACCCCACUGCGGGGUAGAAGUUGUCAUCCCUGGGCCGCCCAUCAGCCAUGAAAGCACCUGCCAGACGUACUCACUUUCUUUUCCCUCCUUGAAGCUGUUUUUCUAGGAGGGAUUUCUCCUGCUUUCUUGGGAAUAGGGAGAAUUGACUGGGUAAAGACGUCAGAGAAAUUUUACAUGAAGUAGCUAGUUAAGUAACACAAUGCCACAUAAGUUGUUCAAGUACAUUUGUGUUUAGACAGGUUUUCUCAAGAGAUGACUCUGGAUCUUCACCAUCUUUCAGAAUGUUAUUUCUACUGGAAAGUCCAUCUGCUCAUUCAAAUUCGUAUAUAUAUAUGUGUGUAUAUAUACACACACACAUACAUAUACAUAUAUAUACAUAUGUACAUAUAUUGGAGGCCAGCCGUGCUCACGCCUGUAGUCCCAGCACUUUGGGAGGCUGAGGUGGGUGGAUCACCUGAGGUCAGGAGUUUGGGACUAGCCUGGCCAACAUGGAGAAACCCCGUCUCUACUAAAAAUACAAAAAUUAGCCGGGCAUGGUGGUGGGUGCCUGUAAUCCCAGUCACUUAAGAGGCUGAGGUAGGGGAAUCGCUUGAACCUGGGAGGCGGAGGUUGCAAUGAGCCAAGAUCCCACUGCUGCACUCCAGCCUGGGUGACAGAAUGAGACUCCGUUUUACCAAAACAAACAAACUCCGUUUUACUAAAACAAACAAACAAAAUGUGUGUAUGUGUGUAUAUAUGUGUGUGUGUGUGUGUGUAUAUAUAUACAUAUAUACAUAUAUACAUAUAUAUAUAUGUUUUUGAGAUGGCGUCUUGCUCUGUCACCCAGGCUGGAGUGCAGUGGCACCAUCUUGGCUCAUUGCACCCUCCGCCUCCCGGGUUCAAGUGAUUCUCAUGCCUCAGUCUCCCAAGUAGCUGGGAUUACAGGCACGCACCAUCAUGUCUGGCUAAUUUUUAAUUCAAGUAUUAAUCAAAUUAAUUUGUGUGUUGGACAUUGUGCCAAGCUCUGGGCACAUACUGGUGGGUAAGACGGACUGAUGCCUGUCCUUUUGAGAUUUACCAGUAGAGAGAUGAAGAUUAAUUAAAUACCUUAAUCAAUAAGUGCUAUACAGGGAAAACACAGGGGGUGUAUAACAGAUGGACUUGAUUUAAUGGGGGGCAGUCAGGCAAGUCUGAGCGGAAACCUGGAGGAGAAUGAGCUUGGGCAGAGGGCAGAGGGAGGGAAAAAAGGCACAGCAUAUUGUUGAGACCCCAGCAGUGAGGAGAAUUGAAAUAGGUAUGAUGAAUACUGCUCACUCACGCACUCCCCCCUUAGUUCCAUUAAUCUUCAUUAGCUCAGCUAUUUCAGGUAAACGGAUGUGGGAGUUCUCGUUCUAAAUUUGUAGACCAACUGAGUUGGUAGCAGUUAAAUGAGAAGCUCUUAAAAAUUCCGAUCAGGGAAGUAGCUUUGGUCUUGCCGAGCGCCUGAAGGCCACUGUUUAGGGAGUCCUUGAAGGUAGGGCUGACACCUGAUUUACUGUGUCGCCCUGUAUUACCAUAAUUAAUAGCCCAAGUUAUACACAGAGAAGCGAUCUAGCAGCAAGUCAAACACGGAUGUUUUCCGUAACUGUUUACUAACUGUAAGGCAACAUUGCAGGAAAAAUACAUUUGUGGUGCUUGGCCUCAUCUAGAAGGGCCACCAUCAUCCCUUUCCUCCAUUGGAUGCCGGUCCCUUUCUCCAACCGCCCCAUUGUUUAAGUUGGUCUAUUCCAUUCCAUUCCCUCCCUCCCCCUCCCCUCCCCCUCCCCCUCCCCCUCCCCACUCUCCCCUCACCCCCCCUCCCCCUCCACCUCCCCCUCCCUCUCUCCUCCCCCUCCCCCUCCCUCCCUACUCCUCCUCGAGACCCA
rnacentral:lncRNA from 1 species